GGAGGACAGAAAGUCCCACAAGAUCCUACCAUGAUAGCAAAUGUGAUCGAGUUUGGGUCUACACUUGGAAGAGGAGAGGAGAAAGAGCUCAACCAUUUCCCCCACUUAAAUACCAUUACCUUAAUGUCCAUUUGAAACGGUUUCAAGACAAAAUUGGAAACCAGAUCCAAACUCAAUUUCCCACCAAGUUUCUGGGCAGAAAAAUGUUUGAUCAAGAGAAAAGGCUACAAACUUCACUCCUAUACAUAUGACUUAGGCAACGUUACUUCCGAGUUUGCUACAAAAAGGCCUUGUCUCUACUUGUUACGCGAAGCCUGUAAAACCUC
rnacentral:lncRNA from 1 species